GUAAGAUAAUAAGAGCAAUUGGAGGAUGCCUUGGCACACAGAGGCGAUGAAAGACGCAGCAACCGGCGAAACGCUACGGGGAGUUGGAAGCAAGCAUUGAUCCGUAGAUAUCUGAAUGGGGCAACCCAACGGGAGUCAUGUCCCGUUACUCCGCAAGGAGGGCAAACCCGGGGAAGUGAAACAUCUCAGUACCCGGAGGAAGAGAAAACAAACGUGAUUCCCUUAGUAGUGGCGAGCGAAACGGGAAGAGUCCAAACCGGUGUCCAAUGGGCAUCGGGGUUGUAGGGCGCUCAACAAAGUGUAUGAUAACUGAUAGCAGAAUUGACCUGGAAAGUCAAGCCAUAGAAGGUGAAAGCCCUGUAAGCGAAAUCGGAAGUUGGCAUGAGAGCGUACCUGAGUACCGCGGAGCAGGUGGAAUUCUGCGGGAACCAGCCGGAACCAUCCGGUAAGACUAAAUACUCCUGUGUGACCGAUAGUGAACCAGUACCGUGAGGGAAAGGUGAAAAGAACCCUUAAGAAGGGAGUGAAAAGAAUCUGAAACCAAUUGCUUACAAACGGUCGGAGCGGAUUUAUUCCGUGACGGCGUGCCUUUUGCUUAAUGAGCCAACGAGUUGCUCGUCACGUGCAAGGGUAAGAUUCUUAAGAAUCGCACCCGUAGCGAAAGCAAGUCUGAAAAGGGCGAUUAGUGCGUGGCGGCAGACGCGAAACCGUGUGAUCUAUCCAUGGUCAGGAUGAAGUAUCGGUAACACGAUAUGGAGGUCCGAACUGGUGCGGGUUGAAAACUGCUCGGAUGAACUGUGGAUGGGGGUGAAAGGCCAAUCAAACUCGGUGAUAGCUCGUACUCCCCGAAAUGUAUUUAGGUGCAGCCUCGAGUUAGUGUUCCGGAGGUAGGGCUCUGAUUGGGCUAGGGCUGUCACAACGGUACCGAACCCAGAUAAACUUCAAAUACCGGAAACAUGAUGCUCGGGAGUAAGGCGGCGAGGGAUAAGCUUCGUUGCCGAGAGGGAAAGAACCCAGACCGCCGAUUAAGGUCCCCAAGUGUAUGCUAACAGAUAAAGGAUGUUGCGUUGCUGAGACAGCCAGGAUGUUGGCUUAGAAGCAGCCACUCAUUGAAAGAGUGCGUAAUAGCUCACUGGUCGAGCGACGCAGCGCCGAUAAUUAUCGGGACUGCAAGCAUACCACCGAAAUCGCGGAUUCAGCUUUACAGCUGAGUGGUAGGGGAGCAUUCUACGGGCGUCGAAGGUGUGAUGUGAGUCAUGCUGGAGCGCGUAGAAGAGCAAAUGUUGGCAUAAGUAGCGAGAACGAAAGUGAGAAUCUUUCGCGCCGAAAGUCUAAGGUUUCCUGAGCUCCGUUCGUCGACUCAGGGUUAGUCGGCCCCUAAGGUGAGGCCGAGAGGCGUAAUUGAUGGGAAACAGGCACAUUAUAAUAUUCCUGUACCGCUAUAGCAAUAAAAGUGACGCAAUGAAACGGUCAUACCAGCCAAAUGGCUAUGCAGGUAUGGCUUAGAGUUGCCGAGAAAAGCGAGCUAUGGCGACCGUACCGCAAACCGACACAGGUAGACGGGUUGAAUAUACUCAGGCGCGCGAGUGAGCCGUGGUUAAGGAACUCGGCAAAUUAACCCCGUAACUUCGGGAGAAGGGGUGCUGGAGCAAUCCAGCCGCAGAGAAAUGGCCCAAGCGACUGUUUAACAAAAACACAUCACUCUGCUAACACGUAAAGUGGAUGUAUAGGGUGUGACACCUGCCCGGUGCCGGAAGGUUAAGAGGAGAUGUCAGGAGUAAUCCGAAGCAUUGAAUCGAAGCCCCGGUAAACGGCGGCCGUAACUAUAACGGUCCUAAGGUAGCGAAAUUCCUUGUCGGGUAAGUUCCGACCUGCACGAAUGGUGUAACGAUUUGG
rnacentral:rRNA from 1 species